UCCGAGUCCUGGAGUAUUCACUAUCUUUCAGGAGCUUGCAGCCGUGACAUAUCUAAUGCCCGAGCAUGCUACCUACAUUACAGCUAGAUGCGGUUCUGUAAAGGAGAUAUCUUUAUUAAGCGGAUUCCAUCACGGAACAUAGUUCUUUAUAUGGGAAAGGAUAAGGUGCGUAUUCAUUAGAUCCGAGUUUUUUAUGGUGAAAAAGUAUGUUAAAACCUCAAAAAGCAAAUGGAUGGUAGAGUUAAAGAUUCUAAGCUUUCAGGGGAAUCUACAUCUACAAUACAAGAUAUGAAUGCUGCAAGUGUUGACGAGAAACAUUUGGCUAUGAAUACAAAGAAUCGUGAUUCGAAAAUGGAAGAUAAUGUGUCUGACUGGUCAAGAUUAGACCUCCCAUGGUGGUUGGAAAGGAUAUAGAUAUCUUCGACAUUGUGCACCUAUUCCAUUUAUUUCUAUCACAACUACAAACUAAAUGACCCUUCAAAGUUCUGAGUGGGAUUUGGUAUUUUGUCAUAAUCUCAUAAUUAUAAUGGGUUUCGGAUUCUAUAGACUUGGUUUUGUAAAAUCUCCUUGUGUAUAUAGUUAGUUCAUAAUGUAUGUUUAUUGUCGAGUGUGCCAUUUUUAACUUUUUUAUU